GAUCAUGGCUCAGGAUGAACGCUGGCGGCGUGCUUAACACAUGCAAGUCGAGCGAAGCACUUAAGUUUGAUUCUUCGGAUGAAGACUUUUGUGACUGAGCGGCGGACGGGUGAGUAGGCGCGUGGGUAACCUGCCUCAUACAGGGGGAUAACAGUUAGGAAACUGACUGCUAAUACCGCAUAAGACCACGGUACCGCAUGGUACAGUGGUAAAAACUCCGGUGGUAUGAGAUGGACCCGUCG
rnacentral:rRNA from 1 species